rnacentral:rRNA from 1 species
AUUGAACGCUGGCGGCAUGCCUUACACAUGCAAGUCGAACGGUAACAGGUCUUCGGAUGCUGACGAGUGGCGAACGGGUGAGUAAUACAUCGGAACGUGCCCGAUCGUGGGGGAUAACGGAGCGAAAGCUUUGCUAAUACCGCCUUCGAUCUAUGGAUGAAAGCAGUGGACCGCAAGGCCUUGCGCGGACGGAGCGGCCGAUGGCAGAUUAGGUAGUUGGUGGGAUAAAAGCUUACCUAGCCGACGAUCUGUAGCUGGUCUGAGAGGACGACCAGCCACACUGGGACGGAGACACGGCCCAGACUCCUACGGGGGGCAACAGUGGGGAAUUUUGGACAAUGGGCGAAAGCCUGAUCCAGCCAUGCCGCGUGCAGGAUGAAGGCCUUCGGGUUGUAAACUGCUUUUGUACGGAACGAAAAGCCUCUUUCUAAUAAAGAGAGGUCAUGACGGUACCGUAAGAAUAAGCACCGGCUAACUACGUGCCAGCCGCCGCCGUAAUAC